rnacentral:rRNA from 1 species
GCCCCGCAAAACCCUUGUGAGGUGUAGCCUGCCCAGUGGUUGUUAAUAAACUCUAAAGACAACUAAAUGGCCGCGGUAACUCUGACCGUGAUAAAGUAGCAUAAUCACUCGUCACUUAAUUGGUGACUGGAAUGAAUGGCUGAACGAACCUCCCUCUGUCUCUAAGAAAAUUCCGGCGAACUUGAAAUGGCAGUGAAGAUGCUGCCGAACAACUGCAAGACGAAAAGACCCUAUCGAGCUUUACUGGAAGCUUGCAAACCUAAAGGGGUGUUAACCUGCAUGCCCUGGAAGACUGCAAGCCCGACAGUUUGGUUGGGGCGACCACCCCUAAGAAAGUAUCAGGGGAACUCUAAAGGUGAUUACCAAAUGGAAAAUGCCUUACUGGAAACAAACAAGUCAAUCAGUUACUAUAGGUAGGACAUAGUGACCCGUUACAUAGGUCAUGAAAUGUAACGACUAGGAAAAAAGUUACCGUAGGGAUAACAGGGUAAUAUUUUCGGAGAGUUCAUAUCGAUGAAAAUGUUUGCCACCUCGAUGUUGAAUUGUGAUAUCCUAGGGGUGCAGCAGCUCCUAAGGGUUG